GACGAACGCUGGCGGCGUGCUUAACACAUGCAAGUGGAGCGACGAAGCGGGCUUCGGCCCGUGGCAGAGCCGCGAACGGGUGAGUAACACGUGGGUAACCUGCCCCGAUGACCGGGACAACCCGAGGAAACUCGGGCUAAUACCGGAUGUGGUCACCUCACAUAAGUGAGAUGACUAAAGAUAGCUUCGGCCUUCGCAUCGGGAUGGGCCCGCGGCGCAUUAGCUUGUUGGUGAGGUAACGGCUCACCAAGGCAACGAUGCGUAGCUGGUCUGAGAGGACGAUCAGCCACACUGGGACUGAGACACGGCCCAGACUCCUACGGGAGGCAGCAGUGGGGAAUCUUGCGCAAUGCGCGAAAGCGUGACGCAGCAACGCCGCGUGGGGGAAGAAGGCCUUCGGGUUGUAAACCCCUUUCAGGAGGGACGAAGCCUGGCUGGUGAAUAGCCAGUCCAGGUGACGGUACCUCCACAAGAAGCCCCGGCUAACUACGUGCCAGCCGCCGCCGUAAGAC
rnacentral:rRNA from 1 species